GUUUCUAUAAAUUAAAGAACAAACUUUUAGAAAAAUCAUAAUAUCUAACAAAUAUAUUAUUAUUUUUUCUAAAAUUUAGUAAAAGUAUUUGUUAAAUCACACAUUAAAGAAAAAAAAAACUAAAAAUAAUGAAUUUAAAACAUUUUUUUCUAAAAAAGAAUUAGAAUAUGCAGAACGAGAUAAAAAAUAGUGAAAAUGAAAUAGCAAAAUGUUUCCAUGGUGUAUGGUCACCUACAGCAAUAUGCCAUGCUGUUUAUGAUAUUGUUUAUCAGUUCAAGUGGUAGCAAUGACCAUUGUUCUAGAAAAGUACUUUCUAGGGAGAGCUCUGCAAAGUCUUGGAUUAGGGUGUUGAAGACAGCUACAUGUCUCCCUAAAUCAGGAAUGGUGAACCUUUUUAAGAGUGCAUGUCAAAUUGGCUAAAUUUUUGUAAAAACUAUCAUUCAUGUGCUGAUCCAAAUGUUAACUUAAU
rnacentral:lncRNA from 1 species